CGUCCAUUAUAUUAAAAAAUAAAGCAUAAAAUAAUUUUUUUCCAUAGAUUUCCAUGGAUACCACUAGAAGCUAUCUAUAACUACAUCAAGAACACAUCUUCACAAUAACGAUUAAUUGUCAUCUAACAAAGAUGAGAAUCUAUAGUAUUAUGUUAGUCUAUACUAUAGGAACAACUAACUUCAAGAACACAGAGUCUUAGUAUGCUAAAUUCUCAUCAUCUUAAAGAUGGAACUCCACAAAAUCCUCUCUAGUCAAACUAGAGGCAGAAUCAAAAUCAAGAAUACAACCAAUUCUUGGAGCCUAAAAAUCGUUGUCUAUGAAAGACAGAAUCCCUCAAGAGCAGCAUAACAUUUUAACCAAGCACAACUCUCUUAAGAAAAACUAUUCUUGAAAUACUACUUAAAAAUAACAAAGAAAGACCUCACCAAAAUUCUUCAUCGUACUGAUAGCUAUUCUUCUGGGAUGUACCGUUCAAUUUUGGUCUUAACUGAUGAAUUUAUAAGGAAAAAAUAUGUGUAAACUUGCAGUCCAAAUUUCACGAAGAUCGAACUAAGAGCAUUGAGAUUGAGAUAUAUUAAUGUUUGAUCACUAAUUCACAGGCUACCCAGAUUCUACGAGUUUCUACAUUGUUGCUCUCGAAUUUCUCACAUUUUUGGGGUUGAUUGAUGUCUUUCCCACACACUCUAUAUACAUAGUAAUUGAAGGCAUCAACAAAGACUUAAUAAGUCUCUCCUUUUUCUUUUCGUUCCACCAUAAAG
rnacentral:lncRNA from 1 species